rnacentral:rRNA from 1 species
UACGUAGGGUGCGAGCGUUGUCCGGAAUUACUGGGCGUAAAGAGCUCGUAGGUGGUUUGUCGCGUUGUCCGUGAAAACUCACAACUCAAUUGUGGGCGUGCGGGCGAUACGGGCAGACUGGAGUACUGCAGGGGAGACUGGAAUUCCUGGUGUAGCGGUGGAAUGCGCAGAUAUCAGGAGGAACACCGGUGGCGAAGGCGGGUCACUGGCCCGGUACUGACGCUGAGGUGCGAAAGCGUGGGGAGCAAACAGG